rnacentral:rRNA from 1 species
UACGGAGGGGGCUAGCGUUGUUCGGAAUUACUGGGCGUAAAGCGCGCGUAGGCGGCUUUGUAAGUCAGAGGUGAAAGCCUGGAGCUCAACUCCGGAACUGCCAUUGAAACUGUAAGACUUGAGGAUGAGAGAGGUGAGUGGAAUUCCCAGUGUAGAGGUGAAAUUCGUAGAUAUUGGGAAGAACACCGGUGGCGAAGGCGGCUCACUGGCUCAUAUCUGACGCUCAGGCGCGACAGCGUGGGGAUCAAACAGG